GAUGAACGCUGGCGGCGUGCUUAACACAUGCAAGUCGAACGUGAAGCGAAGAUUGAAUACUUCGGUAGGAUUUCUUUGUGAAAAGUGGCGAACGGGUGAGUAACACGUAGGUGACCUGCCUCGUAGUGGGGGACAACCAUUGGAAACGAUGGCUAAUACCGCAUGGUUCUGUCGGUAUGGGAAUGCCGAUAGAUAAAGCCUUAGGGCGCUAUGAGAGGGGCCUGCGUCCGAUUAGCUAGUUGGUGGGGUAAAGGCCCACCAAGGCAUUGAUCGGUAGCUGGUCUGAGAGGACGAUCAGCCACAUGGGAACUGAGACACGGUCCCAACUCCUACGGGGGGCAGCAGUGAGGAAUAUUGCACAAUGGGGGAAACCCUGAUGCAGCAACGCCGCGUGAAGGAUGAAGGUUCUUGGAUCGUAAACUUCUUUUCUGAGGGAAGAGAAAGGACGGUACCUCAGGAAUAAGUCACGGCUAACUACG
rnacentral:rRNA from 1 species